rnacentral:rRNA from 1 species
UGGGGAAUUUUGGACAAUGGGCGCAAGCCUGAUCCAGCCAUGCCGCGUGCGGGAAGAAGGCCUUCGGGUUGUAAACCGCUUUUGUCAGGGAAGAAAUCUUCUGAGUUAAUACCUCGGGAGGAUGACGGUACCUGAAGAAUAAGCACCGGCUAACUACGUGCCAGCAGCCGCGGUAAUACGUAGGGUGCAAGCGUUAAUCGGAAUUACUGGGCGUAAAGCGUGCGCAGGCGGUUUUGUAAGACAGAGGUGAAAUCCCCGGGCUCAACCUGGGAACUGCCUUUGUGACUGCAAGGCUUGAGUGCGGCAGAGGGGGAUGGAAUUCCGCGUGUAGCAGUGAAAUGCGUAGAUAUGCGGAGGAACACCGAUGGCGAAGGCAAUCCCCUGGGCCUGCACUGACGCUCAUGCACGAAAGCGUGGGGAGCAAACAGGAUUAGAUAGCCCUGGUAGUCCACGCCCUAAACCGAUGUCAACUGGUUGUUGGGAAGGUUCCUUCUCAGUAACGUAGCUAACGCGUGAAGUUGACCGCCUGGGGAGUACGGCCGCAAGGUUGAAAC